UACGGAGGAUCCGAGCGUUAUCCGGAUUUACUGGGUGUAAAGGGCGUGUAGGCGGGACUGCAAGUCAGAUGUGAAAUUCCAGGGCUCAACCCUGGAACUGCAUUUGAAACUGUAGUUCUUGAGUGAUGGAGAGGCAGGCGGAAUUCCGUGUGUAGCGGUGAAAUGCGUAGAUAUCGCGCAGAACUCCGAUUGCGAAGGCAGCAUGCCGGCUCCACACUGACGCUGAGGCACGAAAGCGUGGGUAUCGAACAGG
rnacentral:rRNA from 1 species